rnacentral:rRNA from 1 species
UAGGGAAUCUUCGGCAAUGGGGGGAACCCUGACCGAGCAACGCCGCGUGAGUGAAGAAGGUUUUCGGAUCGUAAAGCUCUGUUGUUAAGGAAGAACGAGUGUGAGAAUGGAAAGUUCAUGCUGUCACGGUACUUAACCAGAAAGCCACGGCUAACUACGUGCCAGCAGCCGCGGUAAUACGUAGGUGGCAAGCGUUGUCCGGAUUUAUUGGGCGUAAAGCGAGCGCAGGCGGUCAAUUAAGUCUGAUGUGAAAGCCCCCGGCUCAACCGGGGAGGGUCAUUGGAAACUGGUUGACUUGAGUGCAGAAGAGGAGGGUGGAAUUCCGUGUGUAGCGGUGAAAUGCGUAGAUAUAUGGAGGAACAGCAGUGGCGAAGGCGACUCUCUGGUCUGUAACUGACGCUGAGGUUCGAAAGCGUGGGUAGCAAACAGG